rnacentral:lncRNA from 1 species
AACAAAGGGAAUCUCACCUCUGACCUUUACACUUCUGACUCGCUGCAGUGAGUGGAUCCAUAACCUUUUUCGGACACUGGAUUACAGCUUCUCUAUGGGUAAGUCUGGUCCUAAUUUACUGCCUUUAUUUAGUUUUCAACCACAAACGAGCCCCUUAUGAGGCAUUCACUAUGCAGAAUUGACAACUCUUUUUAUCUACUUGAAAAAUAUUUUUGGAUAAUAAUUUAU